rnacentral:rRNA from 1 species
AUUGAACGCUGGCGGCAGGCCUAACACAUGCAAGUCGAGCGAGCGGCGGACGGGUGAGUAAUGUCUGGGAAACUGCCUGAUGGAGGGGGAUAACUACUGGAAACGGUAGCUAAUACCGCAUACCAUCAGAUGUGCCCCGAUGGGAUUAGCUAGUAGGUGGGGUAACGGCUCACCUAGGCGACGAUCCCUAGCUGGUCUGAGAGGAUGACCAGCCACACUGGAACUGAGACACGGUCCAGAAUCCGACGGGAGGCAGCAGUGGGGAAGAUUGCACAAUGGGCGCAAGCCUGAGACAGCCAUGACGCGUGGGUGAAGAAGGCAUUCGGGUUGUAAAGCACUUUCAGCGGGGAGGCGUUACCCGAAGAAGAAGCACCGGCUAACUCCGUGCCAGGAGCCGCGGUAAUUC